GACGAACCGUGCGAACGUUAUUCGGAAUCACUGGGCUUAAAGCGCGUGUAGGCGGGUGGGAACGUCGGCCGCUGAAAUCCCCCCGGCUCAACCGGGGAAGGGGCGCCGAAACGGCCCGCCUGGAGGGACGUAGGGGGAGCUGGAACUUCCGGUGGAGCGGUGAAAUGCGUUGAGAUCGGAAGGAACGCCCGUGGCGAAAGCGAGCUCCUGGACGUUUUCUGACGCUGAGACGCGAAAGCCAGGGGAGCGAACGGG
rnacentral:rRNA from 1 species